rnacentral:rRNA from 1 species
GCCUGGGGACUACGAGGGAACCUUUAAAACCCGAGGGACUUGGCGGUGCACUAUACCUCCCAGGGGAACCUGGCCCUUAAUUCGAUGAUCCACGAAUCUCUUACCUUUCCUUGUUUAAGCAUGCCCUGAUUGGGGCAUGUUUCUAUCAGUUUGCAUACCGCCGUUUUCAGCUUGUAUCGCGAGAUAAAAGAAACAGGCUAAUCAGCACUGUGAGCAUGGCCUGCUGGUGACAGGCAGGUGAUGGCACUGCUAGGAAUUCAGGUAAACGUGUAGCCAAUGGAAAGGGGGCGCUGGGUUACAAUUGAGGUUUGAAGUGGAUGGCAGCCCGAAGGGGCUGUUUGAAAGCGUACUUGGAAGUAAUGGCUUUGGGCAAUGAA